AGAGUUUGAUCAUGGCUCAGAACGAACGCUGGCGGCAGGCUUAACACAUGCAAGUCGAGCGCCUCGCAAGAGGAGCGGCAGACGGGUGAGUAACACGUGGGAAUCUACCCAUCCUUACGGAACAACUCCGGGAAACUGGAGCUAAUACCGUAUACGCCCUUCGGGGGAAAGAUUUAUCGAGGAUGGAUGAGCCCGCGUUGGAUUAGCUAGUUGGUGGGGUAAAGGCCUACCAAGGCGACGAUCCAUAGCUGGUCUGAGAGGAUGAUCAGCCACAUUGGGACUGAGACACGGCCCAAACUCCUACGGGAGGCAGCAGUGGGGAAUAUUGGACAAUGGGCGCAAGCCUGAUCCAGCCAUGCCGCGUGAGUGAUGAAGGCCCUAGGGUUGUAAAGCUCUUUCACCGGAGAAGAUAAUGACGGUAUCCGGAGAAGAAGCCCCGGCUAACUUCGUGCCAGCAGCCGCGGUAAUACGAAGGGGGCUAGCGUUGUUCGGAUUUACUGGGCGUAAAGCGCACGUAGGCGGAUCGAUCAGUCAGGGGUGAAAUCCCAGAGCUCAACUCUGGAACUGCCUUUGAUACUGUCGAUCUGGAGUAUGGAAGAGGUGAGUGGAAUUCCGAGUGUAGAGGUGAAAUUCGUAGAUAUUCGGAGGAACACCAGUGGCGAAGGCGGCUCACUGGUCCAUUACUGACGCUGAGGUGCGAAAGCGUGGGGAGCAAACAGGAUUAGAUACCCUAGUAGUCC
rnacentral:rRNA from 1 species